rnacentral:lncRNA from 1 species
UGGACCCAUGGAGCCCCUUCAGAGGAACACAAUGAGAUGCCGACUCAUGCUCUGCACUGACGCCCCCUUGAUGGACUACUGGUGCUGCUCUAGCUGAGUUUUCUGAGAUUCUAGACUUAGGUGACACCCAAUAAUUACCAGGUCACAGACCUUCACUGUGGGAAAGUCAAGGUAGGAACCUGAGGCAGCAAGUCACAUCUGCGGUAGGGAGCAGAGAGAAAUGCAUGCAGAUUCUGGACUGGGGGCUUAAGAUUGUGUCUAAUGCAUACAAGCUUCAUGGAUGGAUUCUAAUGCCGUUUUCCUG